GGGGAGUGCUCAGCAUGGAAAUUGGGGCCUUCUUGGCCUUGAGUUGUGAUCUCGAGAUGCACAACCAACAGUGGUGCAGGUGUAAGCCUCUUGGGAAAGAGCAUCGUCGAGGGUGAGAGUCCCGCGCGUCGCCUGCAACCUCUUGUGUACGGUGUGUUUUCCAAGAGUCACGUUCCUCGGGAUUGGAGCGCAAAGUGGGUGGUAAAUUUCAUCUAAAGCUAAAUAUGGGUUCGAGACCGAUAGCAAACAAGUACCCUGAGGGAAAAGUGAAAAGGACUUUGAAAAGAGAGUUAAACAGAGCCUGCCAUUGCUGAAAGGGAAGCGAACGGCACCAGUGUGACUCGGCGAGAUUACCGCGCUGCUAACAUGAUUGCCCGCCCCCUCAACGCAAGUGUGGAGGUGUGUCUUGAUUGGGACGCGCGUGGCACUUCUUGCCUUGUCAGUCAACGUCUGUUUGCGCACGGGGAAAAAUGUGUGGGCAAGGUAGUCUCGCUUUCGGGUGAGGGAAUGCCCGCGCUGUUACUCGCGCGUGUACAGGUCGAUGACGACAUGGUUUCUUUCGACCCGUCUUGAAACACGGACCAAGGAGUCUAACAUAUGUGCGAGUUUGCAGGUGUGUAAGCUUGUUUGCGCAAUGAAAGUGACUGCUGGGAUUCUUGCACCAGCAACCGACCAAUCAUUCGAGAAAGGUUUGAGUAUGAGCAUGUCUGUUAGGACCCGAAAGAUGGUGAACUAUGCCUGUGAAGGGCAAACUCAGGGGAAACUCUGAUGGAGGCUCGUAGCGAUACUGACGUGCAAAUCGUUCGUCAUACAUGGGUAUGGGGGC
rnacentral:rRNA from 1 species